rnacentral:snoRNA from 1 species
UUCAGCGAUGAAAAAGAGCUUUGCUCGAUAACCCAGCUCGUUGAGGAGGGAGUAACGCCCCAUCAUUCCUUUGAGAUAAUUUUUUUUCUGAUUUA